rnacentral:rRNA from 1 species
ACGGAGGAUGCGAGCGUUAUCCGGAUUUAUUGGGUUUAAAGGGUGCGUAGGUGGACUGUUUAGUCAGUGGUGAAAUACUGAUGCUCAACGUUAGCAUUGCCGUUGAAACUGACAGUCUUGAGAGUGAUUGAGGCAGGCGGAAUGCGUGGUGUAGCGGUGAAAUGCACACAUCUCACACAGAACCCCGAUGGCGAAGGCAUCAUGCAAAGCCACAACUGACACUGAUGCACGAAAGCGUGGUGAUCAAACAG